rnacentral:tRNA from 1 species
UCCCAUGUGGCUCACUUGGUAGAGCAUGGUGUUUGCAAUGCCAGGGUUGUGGGUUUGACUCCCACGGGGGAC